CGGGCCUUGGCGCCCUGAAGUGGAGGGAGAGGGACGGGACCUGCCCGCCAGCGGGAGUCCUGGCGGCGCCGCGCGGUGGCCGUGUGCCCUCGUUACCACGUAGAGGGUGAUAGGGUUGAAGCAACAGGAUGAGAGAUCUCAAGCAUGCUACUGAAUGUUGUGCUCUGACAAAACGCCAUAGCUUCCUUUAUCAAGACAGCUGUGUUUUUAAAUAAAUGAUCUUAAUUUGGCCUGCAGAAGGAUUAUGCCUGAUACUCAAAUGUAAUACCUUGAAAGGUCACCUUGACUUCCUCAAGAAGUUUAAUUCAAGGCAUUCAGGAUGCCAGACCAGAAGGCCUCCCAGACUGAGGUAUGUUUAUUGUUUACUACUUCGGAAACUAAGACCACAGUGAAAAGGACAGCUUCCAAAAUAGCAAAGAAAGUUACUGCUACUAACAAAAUAACUUUAAAAUAAGUAUUGCUGAAUGGACUGCCUCAUUUCGACAGUUAUUCGUUCCUACCAUGGAUCACAGAGAACAGUUAAACUGUGUUAAAUUAGGCUUCAGUUAGAUAGAUCCUUGUCACUGUUAAUUGGCUUCCUAUAGAUGUCAUUAGGAUUGUUUGUAGAAGAAGACAAGACUGGGCUGAUCAUCUAGAAACUCCAUUCUAUCUGAACUACAGAAAGUCUAGGGAAGAAAAAAAAAAAACUUUAGCAGGGUAAACUCUGCAACAAGCUUAAAAGAAUUCCAAGAGCAAGAUGUAAAUUCUUCAGCCAAUGGAGUUUGUGGCAUAUAUUCAACAUCUAUUGUUACAACUAAGACAGACUGAUCUGAGCUGAAAAUAUCAAUAACAGGAAUUGCUGGAACAACAUAAGCCUGCUUUGUAUGCACAUCUUGUGCUGCUGGGGAGCCACUCCUACCUCACAAUACAGUUUGAUUUGACACCAAGUUCUCCAGCAGAAAGGAGACACAUCUGACAGAAGGGCAGCCCAUGGAAAGACAAAACUGUCAAAGAAAGAAGGAAGCGAAAACAAUCCAACUGAGCAUUUCCUUGCAAUGCAUCCUUUCCCUGGGAAGACAAGAAACUGCAUUUCAGCUGCUGUAGAAAAAGCACAAGCCAGAUGUGGAGUUCAAUGCCAGUGCAUCGACUAACAGGACAAAAAAUGUGCACAGGAGGUGUCAAACCCCAGAAUGCAGCAGCACAGAGGAGCUGAAGGGGUUCUUUCUUCUCCUCCACUUGGGUGCUUCAAGCAGUGGAGCUAAUGCAGCUCCAUUGGCGGAGCAGAUGAGCAUGGCAUCCUUAAUGCCCUGUGGCCUAGCAGAUUAAUUGUGCAACCAUUGUCCUCCCACUUUUCCUGCAUAUUAAAUUGGAGCUAAUGAGUCAUUAUCUGUGGUCUGCUUGGAAGAAUGAGUUGUUUGUUCAGCACUUUGAAAUCGUAAAUCAAUAUAUACUGCAAACGUGAUGUGCCGCCUACAACUUCAUUCAACAGAGAGCAGCAUUGGACAGGAAAAAAUGAUGUAUCACCCUGGCUCUUAAUGCUGCCCUCUGCAGAAUCUGGUGAUGCGGGUGACUCCUGGGUGUCUGUCUGGAGAGCAAGUAUGAUGGAAGGGGGCUUAUUCACCAUCUCCUGUGGGCAAAGUGAGCAAACCUAAAUGAAGUAAGAGGAAGAUAUAAAUGGUGAUCACCUGAAUCAUUCUGACAUCCAUAGAGUUACUAUUCAUUUAGUAAGCCAAUGACACAAGUAUUUCCUUUGGUACUCCAAGGUUCUCUCCAGGCAUAUCAGGCAGUAUUUUCAGACAAGCACUUAAAAAAAAAAAAAAAAAAAAAGGGAAAAAAGUCACAUUCUGUGGCUACUUCUUAGGAUUGCCUUAAAUGUUGUCUUUAGAAUUCAAGGAAGUUUAGGAAAAAAAUCUAUUUUUCUUUCUGACAUAGCAUUUUCUGAGAUAGGUUGCAGCAGCUUUCAGGGCUCCCUGGAGUGCAGCAUUUUGAGAGAUAUAGCAUUUCCAGGCUCUGUUCAGCGCCACACCACCCCCUGUGCUUCUCCUCCUUCACUCCAGGGUUCUUCCCAGGGAUGCUCUGAAAAUAGAGAAGAUUUACCACCUGUAGGACUGCAGCUGGUACUGAAAGACUGCUGGAAAGAAAAAAAAAAAAAAAAAAGCAAAUAAGGUUCACUGUAUUCACAUUUUGCCAGUUCUCUUCAACAAUUGACAAGUCCUAACAAAUCUCUGUAUCAGUAUUUCUAAGAUAUAGUUGCAAGAAGCUGCGCUUAGGUUUCGGUUUCCAGGAUUAACUGCCUUUUUAUUUUCUGCUCAUGCUGUAAGCAUAACGCUCCAGGUUAAGGGCUUAAAACAGAAUUUACAGUGAAUCCAGAGCAUAUACUCAUUUGUGUGACUUUGUAAUUGUAAUUCUGAAUGCAAAAAUGUUACCCUUCCUUUUCCUGUGGUUUGCAAUGACGUGUGACAGUAAGCAGUGUGACCAAGACUGAAAUUCAUUAUAUGCAGUCCACCUCACCUUACCCAAAAUACGUGGAUGACUGUUAAAAUACCAUAAUUAUGCACAAAGGAGAAAGAAAGAGGGAGAGUGUGUUUUUUUUCUUUUUUUUCUUCUCCUUUUUUUCUUUUUUAAUUUAUAUCAGGCGUUUUUCUUUCAAAAAAUCCUUGUGAGUUCAGGAGACACAGUUUUAUUAAUAGCAUGUUUCAGGUUUAUCUUCUCCACCAUGUGACUUGCACUAAGGAGACACCUUCGCAAGCAAAAUGGAAGGGACAAGAAGAGGCUGGUUAUGCAGGAACAGCUGCUUGUUUUCAGCAGCAUCACUUGAGAGUUUUUCACAUUCUCCUUCUCCGCCUCUCCCCAAAUGUUCAGCCUGCUGUGUGCAAGCUGGGUGUUUACUGUUCAGGACUAUGGAGGAGGAGGAAAUAUUUUGCCUAUUGUUCAGUGACGUCAAUGGCUUCGCUCCCAGUCACUUGAGGGACACUGGUGCUGAGCAAAUGUCAGUACACUGCUGCUACUGCAUGUGCAUUACAGACGGCUUGCAGGAAUUUAAGGUCUCUCCUCCAAGAUAGAUCCUGUUGGUGGAUGAGGCGGGUGUGAAGGGCAAAGAGCAACCGCCAUGGAAAGCCGCUCUGCUGCUUUUUGCACAGGAAAGCAUUACAUGCUACAUUUUGUUGCGGUAUUGAUAUAGCAUAUUUCUUAGCAUUAAAUGCUGCACUGAGCAUAAAAAACAUCUUUUUAUCCUGCACCAAAUCUUUCCCUCUCACA
ensembl:lncRNA